rnacentral:rRNA from 1 species
UACGUAGGGGGCGAGCGUUGUCCGGAAUGAUUGGGCGUAAAGGGCGCGUAGGCGGCCCGUUAAGUUAGGAGUGAAAGUCCUGCUUUCAAGGUGGGAAUUGCUUUUAAUACUGACGGGCUGGAGUACAGGAGAGGAAAGCGGAAUUACCGGUGUAGCGGUGAAAUGCGUAGAGAUCGGUAGGAACACCAGUGGCGAAGGCGGCUUUCUGGACUGAAACUGACGCUGAGGCGCGAAAGCGUGGGGAGCAAAC